rnacentral:rRNA from 1 species
AUUGAACGCUGGCGGCAGGCCUAACACAUGCAAGUCGAGCGGAGCGGCGCACGCGUGAGUAUUGUCUGGGAAACUGCCUGUUGGAGGGGGAUAACGUCAGGAAACGGGCGCUCAUACCGCGUACUAUCAGAUGAGCCUAGGUCGGAUUAGCUAGUUGGUGGGGUAAAGGCCUACCAAGGCGACGAUCCCUAACUGGUCUGCGAGGAUGAUCAGUCACACUGGAACUGAGACACGGUCCAGACUCCUACGGGAGGCAGCAGUGGGGAAUAUUGGACAAUGGGCGAAAGCCUGAUCCAGCCAUGCCGCGUGUGUGAAGAAGGUCUUCGGAUUGUAAAGCACUUUAAGUUGGGAGGCGUUACCAACAGAAUAAGCACCGGCUAACUUCGUGCCAGCCGCCGCGGUAAUUC